rnacentral:rRNA from 1 species
UACGAAGGGGACUAGCGUUGUUCGGAAUUACUGGGCGUAAAGCGCACGUAGGCGGAUUUGUAAGUCAGGGGUGAAGUCCCGGGGCUCAACCUCGGAACUGCCUUUGAUACUGCAAAUCUCGAGUCCGAUAGAGGUGGGUGGAAUUCCUAGUGUAGAGGUGAAAUUCGUAGAUAUUAGGAAGAACACCAGUGGCGAAGGCGACAUACUGGUCCGUUACUGACGCUGAGGCUCGAAAGCGUGGGGAGCAAACAGG